rnacentral:lncRNA from 1 species
CCAAAGUGCUGACUUAUUGGGUAACUCCACUCUUCAUGGUGUUUUCCUAUUUUGUCUUUCAUGAUAUUCAAAUAAAGUGUGACCUGAUUUCAUCUCAUUGUGUUUGCCUUCAAGGUCUCCAAGGUUUACAUUGUAGGUCCCCAGUAAGAUUAUGCAAAGGAUCUUCGUAGUCCGGGCUCCUUUCCCCGAAAGAUGCUAUAAUCUCCUUCCCUGGGUCCUAAGAGGUGGCUAUGCUGAGUGGCAGCUAAUCUUUGUGCAGGAGGCACCGGGAGAUGUCACAGACUGCGAGGCUACAUGAUACAGGAAGUAAAAGCAAGGCAUAUGUUGUUGUUGUUUUAAAGCCUGAAAGAACUAUGAGAGAAAGAAAAAUGCAGGAGACAGAGGAGCUAAGCUUUAUCCCAGAGAGCAUGAGGCAUGUUUAUCAAAGGCCAUCAAGAUGCUUUUGAAGAGGUUUUCUGGCGAAAAACUGAUGUUGUCAGGCCCCUUGUCACAGGCCCUGACCCCCUGAACUCAGGAAACUCCUAAAGGUUUCUGCUCAACUGCCAACCUUACUUUUUAGAAACUAGCCAACUGCUGGAACAGAAAAAGAAACAUUUGAGGAAGACUUCUCAGAUUAAUCAG